AUGCAUUUAUCUCGAUCACCGCACCUCGAACAAGAGGACCCCGACAUAUACAUGUCAGAGGCGAAGGUAGCGUCGCUGCUGUCAUCAGCCUCCUCGGUUCCCGCUGAGGUCCUCCCCUUGGCUGGUGCCGUCCCAUCGCUGCCGUGGAGGCGAGGAGUCCGGGUCGGCCUCUUCCGAGGCUUGGGUCUCGAUGAACGCGACGUGGAUGAAGAGUGGAGACACAACAAAGCAAGAGGGGGGGGCUGCCGACGGCCGCCCCCGCGCAUGCGCGAUGGGCACCAACUCUGCCACUUGCUAGAACGCGUGCAGGCACUCCGGUGCCUUCAUAGCUCGAACGGGUCGGUCCAGCCACUCCUGUGGGCUCACCUCACCCCUAAGGCCGAGCACUUCCUCCGCGCCGUUGACGACCCGCGCCGCCGUUGGGGGCCCGUGUUGGCUGUCCGUUGGGGGAGCCCGCACAUGUGGGCGCGGCCGCACCGACUGUACCCCACCACUCCUCCCGUCGAAGGAAGAAGAUAAGGGAGGAUGA
rnacentral:lncRNA from 1 species